rnacentral:rRNA from 1 species
GAUGAACGCUGGCGGCGUGCCUAAUACAUGCAAGUCGAGCGAACGGACGAGAAGCUUGCUUUUCUGAUGUUAGCGGCGGACGGGUGAGUAACACGUGGAUAACCUACCUAUAAGACUGGGAUAACUUCGGGAAACCGGAGCUAAUACCGGAUAAUAUUUUGAACCGCAUGGUUCAAAAGUGAAAGACGGUCUUGCUGUCACUUAUAGAUGGAUCCGCGCUGCAUUAGCUAGUUGGUAAGGUAACGGCUUACCAAGGCAACGAUGCAUAGCCGACCUGAGAGGGGGGUCGGCCACACUGGAACCGAGACACGGUCCAGAACUCCACGGGAGGCAGGCGUAGGGAAUUUUCCCAAAUGGGCGAAAGGCCUAGGGAGCAACCCCCGGUGGGUUAAUAAGGUUUUUGGAUCGGAAAAACCUUUUUUUAGGGAAAAACAUAUUGUUAAAUAACUGGUCACCUCUUGACGGUACCCAAUCAAGAGGCCACGGGUAACUACG